AUUGAACGCUGGCGGCAUGCUUUACACAUGCAAGUCGAACGGCAGCGCGGGCUUCGGCCUGGCGGCGAGUGGCGAACGGGUGAGUAAUACAUCGGAACGUGCCCAGUAGUGGGGGAUAGCUCGGCGAAAGCCGGAUUAAUACCGCAUACGACCUGAGGGUGAAAGCGGGGGAUCUUCGGACCUCGCGCUAUUGGAGCGGCCGAUGGCAGAUUAGCUAGUUGGUGGGGUAAAGGCCUACCAAGGCGACGAUCUGUAGCUGGUCUGAGAGGACGACCAGCCACACUGGGACUGAGACACGGCCCAGACUCCUACGGGAGGCAGCAGUGGGGAAUUUUGGACAAUGGGCGAAAGCCUGAUCCAGCAAUGCCGCAUGUGUGAUGAAGGCCUUCGGGUUGUAAAGCACUUUUGGCGGGAACGAAAAGGACUGUGCCAAUACCACGGUUCGAUGACGGUACCCGCAGAAUAAGCACCGGCUAACUACGUG
rnacentral:rRNA from 1 species